UAAUACGAAGGGGGCUAGCGUUGCUCGGAUUUACUGGGCGUAAAGGGCGCGUAGGCGGACACUUAAGUCAGGGGUGAAAUCCCGGGGCUCAACCUCGGAACUGCCUUUGAUACUGGGUGUCUUGAGUAUGAGAGAGGUGUGUGGAACUCCGAGUGUAGAGGUGAAAUUCGUAGAUAUUCGGAAGAACACCAGUGGCGAAGGCGACACACUGGCUCAUUACUGACGCUGAGGCGCGAAAGCGUGGGGAGCAAACAGG
rnacentral:rRNA from 2 species